UACGUAGGAGGCAAACGUUAUCCGGAUUUACUGGGCGUAAAGCGCGUGUAGGUGGUUCUGUAAGUAGGGCGUGAAAGCUCCCGGCUCAACUGGGAGAGGCCGUUCUAAACUGCAGAGCUAGAGGAUGGUAGAGGGAGGUGGAAUUCCAGGUGUAGCGGUGGAAUGCGCAGAUAUCUGGAGGAACACCAGUGGCGAAGGCGGCCUCCUGGACCAUUCCUGACACUCAGACGCGAAAGCUAGGGUAGCAAACGGGAUUAGAUACCCUGGUAGU
rnacentral:rRNA from 1 species